rnacentral:tRNA from 1 species
GGAGAGGUGGCAGAGCGGUUGAAUGCGGCGGUCUUGAAAACCGUUGAGGGUUUGUGCCCUCCGUGAGUUCGAAUCUCACCCUCUCCGCCA